GGAGUGGAAAACAGCUAUGGAUACUCUUCUGGGAGCCCAGGAACUGAAGCAGUGCUGAGUGCGUUCCUGGAGCAGACCGCAGCUCGAUCUGGAAGGCACUCCCUAAUGAUAGGUGGCUGCCCCCUGCGAAUCACUCAGAAGCUGCCAAUGAGUCACCCAGUAAUGAGGCCCAGCAAUGGACUUGGAGUCAGUGGCGCCUGACAGCCACUGAGUGGCUGAGGAAGAAAGGAAACGGGAGUCUCCACUGGUACAUGAUAGAUGCUCCUGGUCCUAUGGCAGCUGCUGGAGUGAGAAGCAAUCAGUCAUCAAUGUCCCUGGCUGCAGUCUGGUCAAAGUUAAGGUCAGCUGAAGAGAGGACGUUUCACAGAGUGAAUAAAACCUAACCAGACCAUGUCUGGAAGCAGCAUUAACAAGAAACUCCAAGCAUGGGAAUGGUUAGCCCAGCUGCAUGACAGAAAAGGAUGGGGCCUGACCCUCCCAGGAUCAGUGGCUGUUGGACCUGAGUACUGGCAAAAUAUAAUCCAGAAGGUGGUUUGGAGCCUUCAGAAGAAUAUGCAGUUCAGGGAGUCUAAGGUCGGACAGACAGACAGCCUGUGUGGAUGCAAGAGGACAUCCCUAAAGAAUGGCUAUUUCAAAAGCUAGUAAGGUAAGUUGAAGACAGACAGACAGACAGACAAAGAGAACAAAUUCUAUCAUAAAUGAGAGAUGUCAGUAUAGAUCCUACAGACACUAGAAAAAUAACAAGGAAGUAUCAGGAGCAUCUUUAUGUAAUAAGUACAACAGAAACAGUAGACAAGUUCUAUGGGGAAAAAAAAAAACUACUCCGCUGACACAGUCUGAGACUUUGGAGCAAAUUUGUAACUGCGUUUACAAACUGAAGAAAUGAAAUUUACAGCCCGCUUUCCCACUUCCUAUGUACCCUUCAAAUUUUAAAUUGUAAAUUCACAAGGUCACUCGACUCAAAAUCAAAUAGCCAAGUUCUAAAAGCUAGGACCUCAGCAGAGACUCAAAUGUUAGGCUGUCUGGCAGGUUUG